rnacentral:sRNA from 2 species
UGACAUUCUAAUGAUUCUUCCACUCUGUGCUUCUUCAGAGUAUGAUCUUCAAUAUUUCUUCUGCUUUAAUCUUCUUAUCUAUAAGAAUCCUCUUAUACAAUCUCUUCUUCUGAUCUUCUUUCUCUUUCUUUUCUAGACUGGCCGUGUGACCAUGCAUGGGACUGGGGCCAAAUUUUUCCUCAGUCCCAUUAUUAGAUAUCUUAGUUCUGGUCCCAUAUAGUGUUUAGUAAAUUAGUCACUUUACACUGUUUAUAUUAUAAAUCUAGUCUCAGAUCAUGUUUUACUAAUAAAUUAGUGGUUCCAGUCCCAUUUGGUCCCAUUUUACAAAAUGGGACCAAAUGGGACCAUGAUUUACCCUAUAUAGGUUGGCAGCGAUAGAUUAGCAGUGAUAGAUUAGCAGUGGUAGGUAGGUUGGCAGCGGUAGGUAGGUUGGCAGCGGUAGGUAGGUUGGCAGCGAUAGAUUAGCAGUGAUAGAUAGAUUAGCAGCAAUAGAUUAGCAGCGAUAGAUUAGCAGUGAUAGAUUAGCAGUGGUAGGUAGAUUGGCAGUGGUAGAUAGAUUGGCAGCGGUAGGUAGGUUGGCAGCGAUAGAUUAGCAGUGAUAGAUAGAUUAGCAGCAAUAGAUUAGCAGCGAUAGAUUAGCAGUGAUAGAUUAGCAGUGGUAGAUAGAUUGGCAGUGAUAGGU